rnacentral:rRNA from 1 species
GACGAACGCUGGCGGCGUGCCUAAUACAUGCAAGUAGAACGCUGAAGAGAGGAGCUUACUCUUCUUGGAUGAGUUGCGAACGGGUGAGUAACGCGUAGGUAUCCUGCCUUGUAGCGGGGGAUAACUAUUGGAAACGAUAGCUAAUACCGCAUAACAAUGGAUGACACAUGUCAUUUAUUUGAAAGGGGCAAUUGCUCCACUACAAGAUGGACCUGCGUUGUAUUAGCUAGUAGGUGAGGUAAUGGCUCACCUAGGCGACGAUACAUAGCCGACCUGAGAGGGUGAUCGGCCACACUGGGACUGAGACACGGCCCAGACUCCUACGGGAGGCAGCAGUAGGGAAUCUUCGGCAAUGGGGGCAACCCUGACCGAGCAACGCCGCGUGAGUGAAGAAGGUUUUCGGAUCGUAAAGCUCUGUUGUAAGUCAAGAACGGGUGUGAGAGUGGAAAGUUCACACUGUGACGGUAGCUUACCAGAAAGGGACGGCUAACUACGUG